GAACGCUGGCGGCAGGCCUAACACAUGCAAGUCGAACGGUAACAUUUCUAGCUUGCUAGAAGAUGACGAGUGGCGGACGGGUGAGUAAUGCUUGGGAACUUGCCUUUGCGAGGGGGAUAACAGUUGGAAACGACUGCUAAUACCGCAUAAUGUCUUCGAACCAAACGGGGCUUCGGCUCCGGCGCAAAGAGAGGCCCAAGUGAGAUUAGCUAGUUGGUAAGGUAACGGCUUACCAAGGCGACGAUCUCUAGCUGUUCUGAGAGGAAGAUCAGCCACACUGGGACUGAGACACGGCCCAGACUCCUACGGGAGGCAGCAGUGGGGAAUAUUGCACAAUGGGGGAAACCCUGAUGCAGCCAUGCCGCGUGUGUGAAGAAGGCCUUCGGGUUGUAAAGCACUUUCAGUUGUGAGGAAAAGUUAGUAGUUAAUACCUGCUAGCCGUGACGUUAACAACAGAAGAAGCACCGGCUAACUCCGUGCCAGCAGCCGCGGUAAUACGGAGGGUGCGAGCGUUAAUCGGAAUUACUGGGCGUAAAGCGCACGCAGGCGGUUUGUUAAGCUAGAUGUGAAAGCCCCGGGCUCAACCUGNGAUGGUCAUUUAGAACUGGCAGACU
rnacentral:rRNA from 1 species